CUACGUAGGUGACAAGCGUCAUCCGGAUUUACUGGGCGUAAAGGGCGUGUAGGCGGUCUUGCAAGUCAGAAGUGAAAUUCCUGAGCUCAACUCGGGCGCUGCUUCUGAAACUGCAGGACUUGAGUGCUGGAGGGGAUAGCGGAAUUCCUAGUGGAGCGGUAAAAUGCGCAGAUAUUAGGAAGAACACCGGUGGCGAAGGCGGCUAUCUGGACAGUAACUGGCGCUGAGGCGCGAAAGCUGGGGGAGCAAACAGGAUUAGAUACCCUGGUAGGCCACGCCGUAAACGAUGAAUACUAGGUGUAGGGGGUAUCGACUCCCUCUGUGCCGCAGUUAACACAAUAAGUAUUCCGCCUGGGGAGUACGGCCGCAAGGUUGAAACUCAAAUGAAUUGACGGG
rnacentral:rRNA from 1 species